rnacentral:rRNA from 1 species
UCUUGGUCANUUAGAGGAAGUAAAAGUCGUAACAAGGUUUCCGUAGGUGAACCUGCGGAAGGAUCAUUAAUGAUUGGCCGAAAGGCCUUAUCUCAUCCUUCAUACCUCUGUGAACCGUUGGCCCUCGGGCCUCUUUACAAAACACUGUGUAAUGAACGUAUGUCAUAUAAACAAAACAAAACUUUUAACAACGGAUCUCUUGGCUCUCGCAUCGAUGAAGAACGCAGCGAAAUGCGAUAAGUAAUGUGAAUUGCAGAAUUCAGUGAAUCAUCGAAUCUUUGAACGCACCUUGCGCCUUUUGGUAUUCCGAAAGGCAUGCCUGUUUGAGUGUCAUGAAAUCUCAAUCCCCUUGGGUUUAUUCUCGAGGGUGAUUUGGACUUGGGCGUUGCCAUCUGGCUCGCCUCAAAAGACUCAGUGGGAACAGCAUCCACGGCCUGACGUAAUAAGUUUCGUUUGACCCGGUGUGACGUCCGCUCCUAACCUGCCAUUGCGCACUUCUGACUCUGACCUCAAAUCAGGUAGGGCUACCCGCUGAACUUAAGCAUAUCAAUAAGCGGA